rnacentral:rRNA from 1 species
UACGGAGGGUGCGAGCGUUGUCCGGAAUCACUGGGCGUAAAGGGCGCGUAGGCGGUCUGCUAAGCGUGUGGUGAAAGCUCGGGGCUCAACCCCGAGUCUGCCAUGCGAACUGGUGGACUUGAGCACUGUAGAGGCAGGUGGAAUUCCGGGUGUAGCGGUGGAAUGCGUAGAGACCCGGAGGAACACCAGUGGCGAAGGCGGCUUCCUGGUCUGCGACUGACGCUGUGGCGCGAAAGCUAGGGGAGCAAACGGG